CAUGUUAUACAGCCCUGCAGUAUGAGGUGGAGAGAAAAGAACAGGGUCUUGAAUCCACGGGUGGGACGAAGUGGAGCGUCUUCCCUCACCGCACACAGUUCUGCAGCUUUCCAUUGAUUCACUGCCUAGAACCUGAACCCUGGGCCGGCAGGGUGCCGGGGGACUUAUAGAUCACCUUCAAAAAUAGCCUGUCCAGAGGGGAGGACAACGGGAUAAAGGGUGGAGAGAGAGAGUCUGGCAAGGAGAGAAUCCUCCCUCUCCAGGCAAGCCACCGAUAGCACCCUGUGUGUAUUUAUAGAUGAACAACAGCAAACCUGAACCUAGAUCAAUAUGCUCUGGGACGUGACAUGAUCUGCUCGCUGAAGGGAUGGAAACCUGGCUGAGAGUACAGGCCCCUGGGACGCAGAACAGGGAUAAACCUCAGGGCCCGUGAAAAAAGUGAAGAAAAAAAGAAAAAGUCAAGGUGUUUCCUAUGUUCUAUGCUCGGGGCCAACUACCAUCGUCCCGUAGACCUCCCAGACACCACAGGACCAAGCUGGAGGGAAGGUGUCUACCGGUGUCUGGGGAGUGACCGGUCCCGAGCCAGAACUGGCCCGCCGCCGUCCGCGGCUCACCCAAGCCAACAGGAUGUUAAUAUGUUAAGCCUGCCUGUCCCAAAGCUCACUCCAGUGCCUGCUCCUCGAAAGCGCCUUCCAGAGCGCCCUCCAGUGCCCACUCCUUGAAAGUGUCUUCCAGAGUUCGCUCUAGUGUUGGCCGAGGCCCCAGAGUUUGCUCCAGUGUUGGCCCAGACCACACCUUUUUCCCCCGAUCCAGAAGAGGAAACUAGGGAUGAGGAGAAGGGUGUCGGCCCAGGCCCCCGAGUUUGCUCCAGUGUUGGCCCAGCCCCAGAGCAAAGCCCAGGAAGGGCUCCCGAUCCCCAGUCAAGCCCAGGAUGGGCUCCUCUUCCGGAGUUGAGCCCAAGAUGGGCUCCUGUUCCCAAGUAUAGCCCACAGAGGGCUCCUGAUCCCCAAGUCAGCCCAGGGAGGGCUCCUGAUUCCCCGUUAAGCCCAGGGAGGGCUCCAGAUCUCCAGUUCCGCCCAGGAAGGGCAAUGUAUCUCCAGUUAGCUCCAGUGUCAGCUCCAGUGUCGGCUCGUCCAACUUGUAUUUAUGUAUUAUUUAGAAAAAUAAGUAAAUAUAUUUCAUUCACUGCUGAACAUGUUUAAUAAACAGUUAUAUCAACAA
ensembl:lncRNA